rnacentral:rRNA from 1 species
AGUAACACGUGGACAAUCUCGCCCCCCGGCCCGGGAUAGCCCAGGGAAACCUGGAUUAAUACCGGAUGAGACGGGACCCGCGAUGGCGGGAUCCGGGAAAGGCGCUGCGGCGCCGCCGGGGGAUGAGUCUGCGUCCCAUUAGCUAGACGGCGGGGUAACGGCCCACCGUGGCGACGAUGGGUAGCCGGCCUGAGAGGGUGGACGGCCACAUUGGAACUGAGACACGGUCCAGACUCCUACGGGAGGCAGCAGCUAAGAAUCUUCCGCAAUGGGCGAAAGCCUGACGGAGCGACGCCGCGUGAACGAAGAAGGCCGUGAGGUUGUAAAGUUCUUUUCGGGAGGGGGAACAACCGUGGCAGGGAAUGGCCGCGGGAUGACGUGAAUCCCGGAAUAAGCCCCGGCUAACUACGUGCCAGCAGCUGC